rnacentral:rRNA from 1 species
GGACGGGUGAGUAACGCGUGGGUAACCUGCCUUGUACAGGGGGACAACAGUUAGAAAUGACUGCUAAUACCGCAUAAGCGCACAGGAGCACAUGCUCUAGUGUGAAAAACUUCGGUGGUACAAGAUGGACCCGCGUCUGAUUAGCUAGUUGGUAAGGUAACGGCCUACCAAGGCAACGAUCAGUAGCCGGCCUGAGAGGGUGAACGGCCACAUUGGGACUGAGACACGGCCCAAACUCCUACGGGAGGCAGCAGUGGGGAAUAUUGGACAAUGGGGGAAACCCUGAUCCAGCGACGCCGCGUGAGUGAAGAAGUAUUUCGGUAUGUAAAGCUCUAUCAGCAAGGAAGAAAAUGACGGUACUUGACUAAGAAGCCCCGGCUAACUACGUGCCAGCAGCCGCGGUAAUACGUAGGGGGCAAGCGUUAUCCGGAUUUACUGGGUGUAAAG